UACGUAGGUGGCAAGCGUUGUCCGGAUUUACUGGGCGUAAAGAGCGCGCAGGCGGUCGUUCAAGUCGCGUGUGAAAGCCCCCGGCUCAACUGGGGAGGGUCACGCGAUACUGAUCGACUCGAAGGCAGGAGAGGGUAGUGGAAUUCCUGGUGUAGCGGUGAAAUGCGUAGAUAUCGGGAGGAACACCAGUGGCGAAGGCGGCUUUCUAGCUUACACCUGACGCUGAGGCGCGAAAGCAAGGGGAGCAAACAGG
rnacentral:rRNA from 1 species